GAUGAACGCUGGCGGCGUGCCUAAUACAUGCAAGUCGAGCGAACAGACGAGGAGCUUGCUCCUCUGACGUUAGCGGCGGACGGGUGAGUAACACGUGGAUAACCUACCUAUAAGACUGGGAUAACUUCGGGAAACCGGAGCUAAUACCGGAUAACAUGUUGAACCGCAUGGUUCAACAGUGAAAGACGGUCUUGCUGUCACUUAUAGAUGGAUCCGCGCCACAUUAGCUAGUUGGUAAGGUAACGGCUUACCAAGGCAACGAUGCGUAGCCGACCUGAGAGGGUGAUCGGCCACACUGGAACUGAGACACGGUCCAGACUCCUACGGGAGGCAGCAGUAGGGAAUCUUCCGCAAUGGGCGAAAGCCUGACGGAGCAACGCCGCGUGAGUGAAGAAGGUCUUCGGAUCGUAAAACUCUGUUAUUAGGGAAGAACAAAUGUGUAAGUAACUAUGCACGUCUUGACGGUACCUAAUCAGAAAGCCACGGCUAACUACGU
rnacentral:rRNA from 1 species